rnacentral:piRNA from 1 species
UGGCUCUGCUAAAAUAGACAUCUUGCUA